AGACCCGAAACCGGGUGAUCUAUCCAUGUCCAGGUUGAAGUUGCCGUAAAAGGCAAUGGAGGACCGAACCCACAUCCGUUGAAAAGGGUGGGGAUGAGGUGUGGAUAGGGGAGAAAUUCCAAUCGAACCCGGAGAUAGCUGGUUCUCCUCGAAAUAGCUUUAGGGCUAGCCUCAUACAAGUCUGCCGGAGGUAGAGCACUGAAUUUCCGCGGGGGCGUCAAAGCCUACCAAAGAAUAUCAAACUCCGAAUGCCGGACAGAUGGUGUAUGGGAGUCAGACUGUACGAGAUAAGUUGGACAGUCAAAAGGGAAAGAGCCCAGACCUGCAGCUAAGGCCCCAAAAUGUGUGUUAAGUGGAAAAGGAUGUGGGAUUUCGAAGACAACUAGGAUGUUGGCUCAGAAGCAGCCAUACAUUCAAAGAGUGCGUAACAGCUCACUGGUCGAGAGGUCCUGCGCCGAAAAUGUCCGGGGCUGAAACACCACACCGAAGCCGCGGAACCCGUAAGGGUUGGUAGAGGAGCAUUCUUAGGGGAGCGAAGCAUUACCGGAAGGGGAUGUGGACCGCUAAGAAGAGAGAAUGCCGGAAUGAGUAGCGAGAGCAAGGUGGGAAUCCUUGCGGCCGAAUAUCCAAGGUUUCCAGAGUAAAGCUGAUCUGCUCUGGGUAAGUCGGGGCCUAAGGAGAGGCAGAGAUGCGUAUCCGAUGGACAGCAGGUUUAAGAUUCCUGCACCCCUUGUUAUCAGAACUGCGGGGACACGGGAAGGGAAGCAGAGCCGGGAAUGGAAAGCCCGGUGCAAGCGAAGUAGUCGCAGGGUUGGAAAAUCCGCCCUGCAUGAGACGAAGGCGUGAUGCGGAGCGAAAUGAAGUAGUGAAGCUGCGGCCCCUUCCUGUCGAGAAAAGCCGCUAUCGUGUAGCAAGGGCCCGUACCGUAAACCGACACAGGUGGAUGAGGAGAGGAUCCUAAGGCCGGCGGGAGAAGUGUUGUUAAGGAACUCGGCAAAAUGACUCCGUAACUUCGGGAGAAGGAGUGCUGCGCAAGCAGCCGCAGAGAAAUGGCCCAAGCAACUGUUUAGCAAAAACACAGGUCUAUGCGAAACCGAAAGGUGAGGUAUAUGGGCUGACGCCUGCCCGGUGCUGGAAGGUUAAGGGGAGAGGUUAGCGCAAGCGAAGCUUUGAACUUAAGCCCCAGUAAACGGCGGCCGUAACUAUAACGGUCCUAAGGUAGCGAAAUUCCUUGUCGGGUAAGUUCCGACCCGCACGAAAGGCGUAAUGAUUUGGGCACUGUCUCAACAACACACCCGGUGAAAUUGAAAUACCAGUGAAGAUGCUGGUUACCCGCGCCAGGACGGAAAGACCCCAUGGAGCUUUACUCCAGCCUGAUACUGGGAUUCGGUAUUGCAUGUACAGGAUAGGUGGGAGGCUAAGAACUCAUGGCGCCAGCCGUGAGGGAGCCGGUGUUGGGAUACCACCCCUGCAGUACUGGGUUUCUAACCUGCGCCCGUGACCCGGGCGGGGGACAAUGUCAGGCGGGGAGUUUGACUGGGGCGGUCGCCUCCGAAAGGGUAUCGGAGGCGCUCAAAGGUUCCCUCAGAAUGGACGGAAACCAUUCGAAGAGUGCAAAGGCAGAAGGGAGCUUGACUGCGACACCGACGGGUGGAGCAGGUAGGAAACUAGGACUUAGUGAUCCGGUGGUAUGAAAGUGGGAUUGCCAUCGCUCAACGGAUAAAAGCUACCCUGGGGAUAACAGGCUUAUCACUCCCAAGAGUUCACAUCGACGGAGUGGUUUGGCACCUCGAUGUCGGCUCAUCGCAUCCUGGGGCUGUAGUAGGUCCCAAGGGUUGGGCUGUUCGCCCAUUAAAGCGGUACGCGAGCUGGGUUCAGAACGUCGUGAGACAGUUCGGUCCCUAUCCGGCGUGGGCGUAGGAUAUUUGAGAGGAGCUGCCCUUAGUACGAGAGGACCGGGGUGGACUGGCCGCUGGUGUAUCUGUUGUAUUACCAAGUGCAUAGCAGAGUAGCCAAGCCGGGAAGGGAUAAACGCUGAAGGCAUCUAAGCGUGAAGCCCCCCUCAAGAUGAGAUAUCCAUACUCGAAAGAGUGAGAGACCCCUUAGAGACGAUGAGGUAGAUAGGGCAGAGAUGGAAGUGCAGCGAUGCAUGGAGUUGACUGUUACUAAUCGGUCGAAAGCUUGACCU
rnacentral:rRNA from 1 species